rnacentral:sRNA from 1 species
GGAAUACAGUGAGUAACCUGAUCAUGAUUAUACCUCCAAUGUUCGGUGCAAUUCAGAGUGUUAGAGACGGUCUGGAAAAACGGUACAUUGCUUCUUAUUUAGCACUCACAGUGGUAGGAAUGGGAUCCUGGUGCUUCCACAUGACUCUGAAAUAUGAAAUGCAGCUAUUGGAUGAACUCCCAAUGAUAUACAGCUGUUGCAUAUUUGUGUACUGCAUGUUUGAAUGUUUCAAGAUCAAGAACUCAGUAAACUACCAUCUGCUUUUUACCUUAGUUCUAUUCAGUUUAAUAGUAACCACAGUUUACCUUAAGGUAAAAGAGCCGAUAUUCCAUCAGGUCAUGUAUGGAAUGUUGGUCUUUACAUUAGUACUUCGAUCUAUUUAUAUUGUUACAUGAAGAGUUUUGCUUUGAACUGCCCCUGAGAGCUGAAGAUUGGCCAUGGGUUUAUCCAUGGCUUAGAGGACUGGGUUAUACAUCACUGGGUAUAUUUUUGUUGGGAUUUUUAUUUUGGAAUAUAGAUAACAUAUUUUGU